UUGUAGCUUAGUUGGCAGAACAUCUGCUUUGCAUGCAGAAGGUCCUAGGUUCAAUCCCAGGCAUCUCAA